rnacentral:rRNA from 1 species
GAUGAACGCUGGCGGCGUGCCUCAAACAUGCAAGUCGAGCGAGGCUAUGAAUUACCGCAAGGUAAGGCAUAGCCUAGCGGCGAACGGGUGAGUAACACGUGGGUAACCUACCUGGAAGACAGGGAUAACGAUUCGAAAGGGUCGCUAAUACCUGAUAAUAUCCGUCUGCCGGAUGGCGGAGGGAAGAAAGGGGAAACCCGCUUUCAGAUGGGCCCGCGUCCCAUCAGCUAGUUGGUAAGGUAAAGGCUUACCAAGGCGACGACGGGUAGCCGGUCUGAGAGGAUGUACGGCCACACUGGGACUGAGAUACGGCCCAGACUCCUACGGGAGGCAGCAGUUGGGAAUCUUAGGCAAUGGACGAAAGUCUGACCUAGCGACGCCGCGUGAGGGAAGAAGGCCUUCGGGUUGUAAACCUCUGUCAUGGGGAAGAAGGAAGUGACGGUACCCAAGAGGAAGCCCCUGCUAACUACGUG